CAACAACACACAAUUUGUUCCUUAAUUUGGUCAUUAACUUUGCUCCAACUGAGGCCUGAUAUAAUGAAUUCUGGGUAAAUCCCACCAACCAACCAGCUCCACAAAAGAAGACAUUAAGUGAAAGACCGGACUUUAAGGGUGUGUUCUCCUCCAUAUCCGUCCACAUUCACUAAGAGACCACGACAGUGCUUUUCCGCAAGCUUUAAUUUCCCAAGACAGAUGUCCAUGCCAGGACCUCGUGAAAACAGCAGAAGAACUAGCGUGGAGAAAGAGGAGGACAGAUGAGGCAUGGGUGGACUGAAAGACGGAUUGGAAGAUGGAAGGAGAGAGGGAGAUAGGAUGCAGACAGGAGUGUGGUUUACUAAGACAAUCAGCCAAUCAGAGAGAUCACAUCGAUGCCAUCAGCUCAACAUCCUGAACCUGCUGGACAGAAUACAGACAAAACAAUUGCCGUGGACU